UACAGAGGUCCCAAGCGUUGUUCGGAUUCACUGGGCGUAAAGGGUGCGUAGGUGGCCAGGUAAGUUCGGUGUGAAAGCUCGGAGCUCAACUCCGAAAUGUCAUUGAAUACUAUCUGGCUGGAGGGUCGGAGGGGAGACUGGAAUUCUCGGUGUAGCAGUGAAAUGCGUAGAUAUCGAGAGGAACACCAGUGGCGAAGGCGGGUCUCUGGGCCGAUACUGACGCUGAGGAGCGAAAGCGUGGGGAGCGAACAGG
rnacentral:rRNA from 1 species